CGUGGAUUGAUGUAAUAGAAACAUACCUGGCUCAUGUCCAGGAUAUAGGGGUUCAAAUCCUCUGUCCGCAU
rnacentral:tRNA from 1 species